rnacentral:rRNA from 1 species
AUUGAACGCUGGCGGCAUGCUUUACACAUGCAAGUCGAACGGCAGCGCGGGCUUCGGCCUGGCGGCGAGUGGCGAACGGGUGAGUAAUGCAUCGGAACGUGCCCAGUAGUGGGGGAUAGCCCGGCGAAAGCCGGAUUAAUACCGCAUACGACCUGAGGGUGAAAGCGGGGGACCGAAAGGCCUCGCGCUAUUUGAGCGGCCGAUGUCGGAUUAGCUAGUUGGUGGGGUAAAGGCUUACCAAGGCGACGAUCCGUAGCUGGUCUGAGAGGACGACCAGCCACACUGGGACUGAGACACGGCCCAGACUCCUACGGGAGGCAGCAGUGGGGAAUUUUGGACAAUGGGGGCAACCCUGAUCCAGCCAUGCCGCGUGCGGGAAGAAGGCCUUCGGGUUGUAAACCGCUUUUGUUCGGGAAGAAAUCCUCUGGGCUAAUACCCCGGGGGGAUGACGGUACCGGAAGAAUAAGCACCGGCUAACUACGUG